CGGAGGGUGUGUGGGAGGCGGUGGCUGUCGCUCACUGACGCCUCCUGCGACCACCUGACUCCCAGAGCUACCCCCGCAGAGAGUUGUAACUGCACGCGUUGCCUUCUUGCAGCAAAUAACUAAACUGUGACUCGCAGCUGCUGCUGCAAUUUUUAGGGACUGCUUCAGGAGCAACAUGGAAACGAGGUUGGAUGAAAAAGGAUGAGAAGAGAUGUGCAGAACCUUCUGGGAAAGGUUCAUUCUCACAAGAGAAUCAUAGGAAGAAACAUCCUCUCUUUAUCUGGACCUUGAGGAAGGAAGAUGUGAAGGCAGCAUUUUGCCAUGGGAAAAGUCAGUGUAAGGACGAAUCCAACAAACAGAGGAAUAACAAACAGUCUUGGCAGGCAGGAUUAAGUUAAACCUGAAGGGUUCUCUGCUCUGGAAUUCCAUUAUGUGGACCCAUGAAUUCCCAGUUACUGAGCCAGUAAAAACUCAGUUCAGUCUGAGUUCCUGUUACUUUCAAGCAAAAGUAUCCUAACUGCAAAGAUUUCUGUGAAUUCCUAACUACUGGACCCUGAUCCUGGGGCAAUGCAAGAGAACUCAUGAAUAACAAUCUGAACAAACAAAUAUAAGUAAACUUCCAGUCAAACCAUUAAGAGGGAAACCUCAACAGCAAG